CUUGUUUACAAUGAAGAUAGACACAAAAUGCUGGAGUAACUCAGCGGGUCAGGCAGCAUCAACGGAGAAAAGGAAUCCAG